CAAAAUUUACUCAGUGAUACUUUUCAGAAAAAAACCAAAAGUGAGGGUCGUUUGGUGCUAUUGACUUCCACAAAUGUCCUUGGUGUUUAUUUUAGAAACAAAAUUAAAUAGUAUUAAUGAAAACUAAAUAAAAUUAAAUACUAAAAAAUAACUAAAAUAAAAAAAUAAUAAAAACACCAAUAAUUCUAUUUAAUUUUUCUUGAU
rnacentral:lncRNA from 1 species